rnacentral:rRNA from 1 species
GUGCCAGCAGCCGCGGUAAUACGGAGGGGGUUAGCGUUGUUCGGAAUUACUGGGCGUAAAGCGUACGUAGGCGGAUUAAUAAGUUAGAGGUGAAAUCCCAGGGCUCAGCCCUGGAACUGCCUUUAAAACUGUUAGUCUUGAGAUCGAGAGAGGUGAGUGGAAUUCCAAGUGUAGAGGUGAAAUUCGUAGAUAUUUGGAGGAACACCAGUGGCGAAGGCGGCUCACUGGCUCGAUACUGACGCUGAGGUACGAAAGUGUGGGGAGCAAACAGGAUUAGAUACCCUGGUAGUCCACACCGUAAACGAUGAAUGCCAGACGUCAGCAAGCAUGCUUGUUGGUGUCACACCUAACGGAUUAAGCAUUCCGCCUGGGGAGUACGGUCGCAAGAUUAAAACUCAAAGGAAUUGACGGGGGCCCGCACAAGCGGUG